rnacentral:rRNA from 1 species
GAUGAACGCUAGCGGCAGGCUUAACACAUGCAAGUCGAGGGGUAGAGGAAGCUUGCUUCCUUGAGACCGGCGCACGGGUGCGUAACGCGUAUGCAACCUACCUUUUACAGAGGGAUAGCCCAGAGAAAUUUGGAUUAAUACCUCAUGGUAUAUAUCAUUCGCAUGUUUGAUAUAUUAAAGUUCCAACGGUAGAAGAUGGGCAUGCGUCCUAUUAGCUAGAUGGUAAGGUAACGGCUUACCAUGGCAACGAUAGGUAGGGGUCCUGAGAGGGAGAUCCCCCACACUGGUACUGAGACACGGACCAGACUCCUACGGGAGGCAGCAGUGGGGAAUUUUGGACAAUGGGGGAAACCCUGAUCCAGCAAUGCCGCGUGAGUGAAGAAGGCCUUCGGGUUGUAAAGGACUCUUUGUCAGGGUAAGAAACACCGGCUCUAACACAGUCCGGGAAUGACGGUACCUGAAGAAAUAAGCACCGGCUAACUACGUG